rnacentral:rRNA from 1 species
AUUGAACGCUGGCGGCAGGCCUAACACAUGCAAGUCGAGCGGAUGAGUGGAGCUUGCUCCAUGAUUCAGCGGCGGACGGGUGAGUAAUGCCUAGGAAUCUGCCUGGUAGUGGGGGACAACGUUUCGAAAGGAACGCUAAUACCGCAUACGUCCUACGGGAGAAAGUGGGGGAUCUUCGGACCUCACGCCAUCAGAUGAGCCUAGGUCGUAUUAGCUAGUUGGUGAGGUAAAGGCUCACCAAGGCGACGAUCCGUAACUGGUCUGAGAGGAUGAUCAGUCACACUGGAACUGAGACACGGUCCAGACUCCUACGGGAGGCAGCAGUGGGGAAUAUUGGACAAUGGGCGAAAGCCUGAUCCAGCCAUGCCGCGUGUGUGAAGAAGGUCUUCGGAUUGUAAAGCACUUUAAGUUGGGAGGAAGGGCAGUAAGUUAAUACCCUGCUGUUUUGACGUUACCAACAGAAUAAGCACCGGCUAACUCUGUGCCAGCCGCCGCCGUAAUAC